GACGAACCGUGCGAACGUUAUUCGGAAUCACUGGGCUUAAAGAGCGUGUAGGCGGUCCGGUAAGUCAGCUGUGAAAGUCAAGGGCUCAACCCUUGAAAGCCGGUUGAUACUGUCGGGCUAGAGUCCGGAAGAGGCGAGUGGAAUUCCCGGUGUAGCGGUGAAAUGCGCAGAUAUCGGGAGGAACACCAAUGGCGAAGGCAGCUCGCUGGGACGGUACUGACGCUGAGACGCGAAAGCGUGGGGAGCAAACAGG
rnacentral:rRNA from 1 species